CUCGAUCGCGACCCCA
rnacentral:rRNA from 1 species